rnacentral:rRNA from 1 species
GUGGACUCUCAAGCGUGAGGUAAGGGCAAUUCGUGGAUGCCUUGGCAUGUACAGGCGAUGAAGGACGUGGCACGCUGCGAUAAGCGUCGGUGAGCUGUGAGCAAGCAUUGACCCGACGAUUUCCGAAUGGGGAAACCCACCUAUCCCGAUUAAUCCGAACUGUGUGGCAACGCACAGGUUGGGUUAAUUAGGUUAGGUAUCACUUAGCUGAAUAAAAUAGGCUUCGUGAAGCGAACCCGGCGAACUGAAACAUCUCAGUAGCUGGAGGAAAAGACAUCAACCGAGAUUCCGUUAGUAGUGGCGAGCGAACGCGGACCAGGCCAGUGCCUGAAUUUCAACUAGUAGAAGUCUCUGGAAAGUGACGCCAUAGCGGGUGACAGCCCCGUAUACGAAAGUGAGAAUUCAGGACUCGAGUAGGGCGGAACACGUGAAAUUCUGUCUGAACAUGGGGGGACCACCCUCCAAGCCUAAAUACUCGUACAUGACCGAUAGCGAACUAGUACCGUGAGGGAAAGGUGAAAAGCACCCCGAUGAGGGGAGUGAAACAGUACCUGAAACGGAUUGCCUACAAGCAGUUGGAGGGCUUUUAUGGCCUGACAGCGUACCUCUUGCAUAAUGGGUCUGUGACUUAAUGUUUCAAGCAAGCU